rnacentral:rRNA from 1 species
GAAACCAACAGGGAUUGCCCUAGUAACGGCGAGUGAAGCGGCAACAGCUCAAAUUUGAAACCUGGCUCACGCCCGGAUUGUAAUUUGUAGAGGAUGCUUCUGGGCAGCGGCCGGUCUAAGUUCCUUGGAACAGGACGUCACAGAGGGUGAGAAUCCCGUAUGUGACCGGCGCGCACCCUCCACGUAGCUCCUUCGACGAGUCGAGUUGUUUGGGAAUGCAGCUCUAAAUGGGAGGUAAAUUUCUUCUAAAGCUAAAUACCGGCCAGAGACCGAUAGCGCACAAGUAGAGUGAUCGAAAGAUGAAAAGCACUUUGGAAAGAGAGUUAAAAAGCACGUGAAAUUGUUGAAAGGGAAGCGCUUCCAACCAGACUCCGCGGCGGUGUUCCGCCGGUCUUCUGACCGGUCCACUCGCCGCCGUGGGGCCAACAUCGUCUGGGGCCGCCGGAUAAGACCGUAGGAAUGUAGCUCCUAGAGUGUUAUAGCCUGCGGUGAUGCGGCGCGUCCCGGGCGAGGUCUGCGCUUCGGCAAGGAUGUUGGCGUAAUGGUUGGCAGCGGCCCGUCUUGAAACACGGACCAAGGAGUCUAACAUCUAUGCGAGUGUUCGGGUGUCAAACCCCUACGCGUAAUGAAAGUGAACGGAGGUGGGAGCUUCGGCGCACCAUCGACCGAUCCUGAUGUCCUCGGAUGGAUUUGAGUAAGAGCAUAGCUGUUGGGACCCGAAAGAUGGUGAACUAUGCCUGAAUAGGGUGAAGCCAGAGGAAACUCUGGUGGAGGCUCGCAGCGGUUCUGACGUGCAAAUCGAUCGUCAAAUUUGGGCAUAGGGGCGAAAGACUAAUCGAACCAU